rnacentral:tRNA from 1 species
CGAGGUAUAGCUCAGCUUGGUAGAGUGCUACGUUCGGGACGUAGAAGUCAUAGGUUCGAAUCCUAUUAUCUCGACCA